GCUGUUGUUGUUGUAGAUUUCAUUAUGCGCUUUGGUUGGAGGAAAAAUGCGCUUUCGUGACUUUUUAUGGGGUGUCUGCGCUUUGGAACCACCCCCUCGCGCUUUAGUAUCGCAACACUGCGCUUUAGUACCGCGUUGCGCUUUCGCACCCACCCUCAGAUUUGAUGUGUUGCGACCUGCACUUCAGUAUCGUUUUGUCGAGGUUCCAGCUACUAUUUUCAGCGAGCCAAUCACAAGCCGAGAAAUUGUUGCAGCGCUGUUCCUGCCACGCGGUGGCCGCCAUUACGCCUUCUUCAUGCAUAUCUUCAGCAGUAAAAACUAUGGUUACUGGGACAAACAGCUUGACUGAUUUGUUGACCAAGACUGUUUGUAGUUUGGGCUUUGUUCAACCAUAAACAAAGGAUGGCUGAACAACUAUGUCCCCUGGAUCUUUCAACUAAACCUCUUUCAGGUUUAGCCAUGAAGCUGCCUAAAAGUGCACCUUAUAACAUGCCGAAGACUGUUAUAAAGGUAUCAAUGAAGUCAAGAUCCCAUUCCUGCGAGCCACACAGUGACAAAAUAAAUGACCACAGGACAUAUCUCCCAAGCCAGCAUGUGGAGGUAAAUGAAUAAUUAGAUGUUGCUGAGUCCAGGCCCCUCACUGACAGGGAAUCAAUAUAUAAUUUGAAAAUAAAAUUACUUUAUAAUCAAGCUUGCUUAGUGGUUAGCACUUCAUAGUUACUAAGCCAUGAGUGCAGGUUCAAGUCCCAGAUUUGUUAGUGGGUUCAUUCUCAUUAAGGCACAAUGCUCAAGUAUGCAGAUGACCACUCUUCAGCUAUCUACACUUGCAACUUCCUGGAGUUCCUUGAGCUUAAUGAAUGUGACUCUUUCCCAUUGCUGCCAAAACCAACUAUGCGAAUCACAUAAUAUUUUAUGGUUAUUUGACUAAUUUAUACCAUCUCUAGAUUUCCCUUUAUUACUCACAC